UUAGUAUAGCUUAUUUAAAG
rnacentral:tRNA from 3 species